rnacentral:lncRNA from 1 species
ACUCGCUGUAGCCACUACGGGGCGCGCGCAGGUCGCGGAUUUCCCUGUAGCUAGUCCCCGAGUCUUGCCAACCCCCGGCACUGCCAGUUAAUCAAUUGCUCCCUAGUUCCUGCGCGCGGGUCCCCUGCCCCGCCGUCUCCAGCCAUGCGAGAUCGCGAGUAGGCCUCUGGCCUUGCAGACCUCUGGAGCGCGCGGAGCCCCUCUCUGUACUCGUCCACACCAAACAGCUUGGGAUUCAGACACUGAAGUAUUUUUUCUCUUCGAUCUCGGACACCUCCUCUGUCUCUAUUUACUAGCCAUGUGAACUCGGCCAAAUCACUUCACCUCCCUGAGCCUCAGUCUCCUCAUCCGUCAAAUGGGGGUUUAUAAACACCUACCUCGCAGGGUUGUUGUGAGGACUUAAUGCGAUAAUGUAUGUAAAGCGC